CGUGAGUGGCGGACGGGUGAGUAACGCGUGGGUAACCUGCCUCAUACAGGGGAGUAACAGUUAGAAAUGACUGCUAAUACCGCAUAAGACCACAGUACCGCAUGGUACAGGGGUAAAAACUCCGGUGGUAUGAGAUGGACCCGCGUCUGAUUAGGUAGUUGGUGGGGUAACGGCCUACCAAGCCGACGAUCAGUAGCCGGCUUGAGAGAGUGAACGGCCGCAUUGGGACUGAGACACGGCCCAA
rnacentral:rRNA from 1 species